GGGCUUUUGAUUAAGGUGUUUUGAAGUCACUUAAAAGGAUAUUUCCUAAAGCUCU
rnacentral:tRNA from 1 species